rnacentral:rRNA from 2 species
AGUGGCGGACGGUUGACUAACACGUAUGUAACCUGCCCACAAGCGGGGGACAACAUUCGGAAACAGAUGCUAAUACCGCAUAACAUCGUUGUUCGCAUGAACAACGCUUAAAAGAUGGCUUCUCGCUAUCACUUCUGGAUGGACCUGCGGUGCAUUAGCUUGUUGGUGGGGUAAUGGCCUACCAAGGCGAUGAUGCAUAGCCGAGUUGAGAGACUGAUCGGCCACAAUGGGACUGACACACGGCCCAUACUCCUACGGGAGGCAGCAGUAGGGAAUCUUCCACAAUGGGCGCAAGCCUGAUGGAGCAACACCGCGUGAGUGAAGAAGGGUUUCGGCUCGUAAAGCUCUGUUGUUAAAGAAGAACACGUAUGAGAGUAACUGUUCAUACGUUGACGGUAUUUAACCAGAAAGUCACGGCUAACUACGUGCCAUCAGCCGCGGUAAUACGUAGGUGGCAAGCGUUAUCCGGAUUUAUUGGGCGUAAAGAGAGUGCAGGCGGUUUUCUAAGUCUGAUGUGAAAGCCUUCGGCUUAACCGGAGAAGUGCAUCGUAAACUGGAUAACUUGAGUGCAGAANAGGAUAUUGGAACUCCAUGUGUAUCGAUGGAAUGCGUANAUAUAUGGAAGAACACCACUGGCGAANGCGGCUACCUGGUCUG